ensembl:processed_transcript
AUAGUGCUUCCGUUCCCCUCCUCGGGGAACGAAGGGUUACUUUAGUAACCUCGAACGGUACAUGAUGAUGAUGAUGAUGAUGAUGAUGAUGAUGAUUUCAGUUCUGCUUUCUGCUGCUGCUUUGGCUGUUUUCAUCGCUGCUGUUCUGUGUUUGAUCCAGCGCAGAAGAAGAGCUGGUGAGUCUCACAUUUACUCCAAUUACAAACACUUGACUUUAAUGAGCAGAAAACAAGAGCAACAUUCCUGAUCCCUGAGCAAACAACAAAACACCACUGAAGAAGAGCUCAUGGCAAACUACUGCUCACAAUGCGCACAAUGGAGAUUCCAUUGCUUUUAAUGGAGACUCUAUUGCUCAUGUGCCUCAUUUUCUGCCUUCUAUUGGUGGCCUGUUAAAAGCAGUCGAUCCUAAUGGAGAAUGUGGCCAAACACAGCACAAACCAGGACAAUGUGCUGCUUUUAAUGCCUCAAAUCUGAUGCUCUGGGAUCUUUUAAUGCUGUCUGUAAUGGAAACCAGUAGACUUUCUGUUGUGUUUUCUCCUCAAUCCUCAGCAGCUCAUCAAAGAGCGAGCGGUGAAUCAGCGGUCAAAGAUGAGAAUCAAGUCCACUAUCAAACAAUCCACAUGUCCAUUAAUCCUGCUGCCAGAGCCCAUGAGCAGACGGAGGAUUCAGUCACUUAUUCUGAGGUCACUUGUGCUGGGAAAAAGCCGGAGAAAUCAGCCAGUGAUGAUGAUGGUAAUGACUCAGUGACUUAC